rnacentral:rRNA from 1 species
GACGAACGCUGGCGGCGUGCUUAACACAUGCAAGUCGAACGGAAAGGCCCUGCUUGCAGGGUACUCGAGUGGCGAACGGGUGAGUAACACGUGGGUGAUCUGCCCUGCACUUCGGGAUAAGCUUGGGAAACUGGGUCUAAUACCGGAUAGGAACCAUCUUUAGUGUGGUGGUUGGAAAGUUUUUUCGGUGUAGGAUGAGCUCGCGGCCUAUCAGCUUGUUGGUGGGGUAAUGGCCUACCAAGGCGGCGACGGGUAGCCGGCCUGAGAGGGUGUACGGCCACAUUGGGACCGAGAUACGGCCCAGACUCCUACGGGAGGCAGCAGUGGGGAAUAUUGCACAAUGGGCGCAAGCCUGAUGCAGCGACGCCGCGUGGGGGAUGAAGGCCUUCGGGUUGUAAACUCCUUUCGCUAGGGACGAAGCUUUGUUGUGACGGUACCUAGAUAAGAAGCACCGGCUAACUACGUG